rnacentral:rRNA from 1 species
AUUGAACGCUGGCGGAAUGCUUUACACAUGCAAGUCGAGCGGGGUGAUGGUGCUUGCACUAUCACUUAGCGGCGGACGGGUGAGUAAUGCUUAGGAAUCUGCCUAUUAGUGGGGGACAACAUCUCGAAAGGGGUGCUAAUACCGCAUACGUCCUACGGGAGAAAGCAGGGGAUCACUUGUGACCUUGCGCUAAUAGAUGAGCCUAAGUCGGAUUAGCUAGUUGGUGGGGUAAAGGCCUACCAAGGCGACGAUCUGUAGCGGGUCUGAGAGGAUGAUCCGCCACACUGGGACUGAGACACGGCCCAGACUCCUACGGGAGGCAGCAGUGGGGAAUAUUGGACAAUGGGGGGAACCCUGAUCCAGCCAUGCCGCGUGUGUGAAGAAGGCCUUAUGGUUGUAAAGCACUUUAAGCGAGGAGGAGGCUCUUUUGGUUAAUAACCAAGAUGAGUGGACGUUACUCGCAGAAUAAGCACCGGCUAACUCUGUGCCAGCAGCCGCUGUAA